rnacentral:rRNA from 1 species
UUCCAGACUCCUACGGGAGGCAGCAGUGGGGAAUAUUGCACAAUGGGGGAAACCCUGAUGCAGCGACGCCGCGUGAGUGAAGAAGUAUUUCGGUAUGUAAAGCUCUAUCAGCAGGGAAGAAGAUGACGGUACCUGACUAAGAAGCCCCGGCUAACUACGUGCCAGCAGCCGCGGUAAUACGUAGGGGGCAAGCGUUAUCCGGAUUUACUGGGUGUAAAGGGAGCGUAGACGGCGAUGCAAGCCAGAUGUGAAAGCCCGGGGCUCAACCCCGGGACUGCAUUUGGAACUGUGUGGCUGGAGUGUCGGAGAGGCAGGCGGAAUUCCUAGUGUAGCGGUGAAAUGCGUAGAUAUUAGGAGGAACACCAGUGGCGAAGGCGGCCUGCUGGACGAUGACUGACGUUGAGGCUCGAAAGCGUGGGGAGCAAACAGGAUUAGAUACCCGUGUA